rnacentral:lncRNA from 1 species
GACCUGUUGUAAGAGCUAUUGAAAAUUUAGAAUUGCAGGAGACGAGGCUAAAACCACUUCGGAUGUGAAAAUUUUUUACAAGCUUGCAAGAAAAUAACUUUUUCAAACUUUUAACAAUAAAACUAAUAAAAUAUUAAAUCAAUUUACAGCUACCAAAAGCUAAACUUCAGAUGGGUCCCUGCAUACCAAAACCAAAAAACAAAAACUGAAUGAUAUUAGAAAAAAAAAAGACAAAAUAUACAACAAUACUCAGAUUUCAACUGCAUGAUCUAACUGCCUAAAAAUAGACAACAAUACUCAAAUUUCAAUUGCAUGAUCUUA